rnacentral:rRNA from 1 species
UACGGAGGGUGCGAGCGUUGUCCGGAAUCAUUGGGCGUAAAGGGCGCGUAGGUGGCCCGGUCAGUUCGUGGUGAAAGCGCGGGGCUCAACCCUGCGUCGGCCAUGAAUACUGCCGCGGCUGGAGCACUGUAGAGGCAGGCGGAAUUCCGGGUGUAGCGGUGGAAUGCGUAGAGAUCCGGAGGAACACCAGCGGCGAAGGCGGCGU